GUAUCACCCAAUAUAAUAAAUCUUUAAUGGUUCACUUUAAUUAAACUUUACAUGAAAAUAUGCUACUAAAAAGCAGAUGUUAAAUACAUCCUCUUAAAUAAUUCUAAUAAUUAUAAAACAUCCUAAAUUCAAAACGAAGAAUUUAGUGUACUCAAAUUACCAUUAUACAACUAUAUAUAACAUACAUAUUUCAAAAUCACAUGAAUGUUUUUCGUCUUUUUAGGUCUGCACCCACGGCAUAUGGAGGUUCCCAGGUAGGGGUCUAAUCGGAGCUGUUGCUGCCGGCCUACGCCAGAGCCACAGCAAUGCCAGAUCCGAGCUGCAUCUGCGACCUACACCACAGCUCAUGGCAAUGCCAGAUCCUUAACCCACUGAAGCCAGGGAUCGAACCAGCAACCUCAUGGUUCCUAGUCGGAUUCAUUUCUGCUGUGCCAUGACAGGAACUCCAUGAAAUUUUAAGGUAAAAAGAAUUCAGAGAAGUCACCAGUUAAAUGUUACCUAACCUUUAUUAUUGUCAGCCAAUGUACCCAGGAAUCAGAAUAACUGAUAAUAUCUUUGCUUUGUGCAAAAUGGAGGUAUAUGGAUUUAAAUAUUUUUUAAUACAGGACUAUUGAAAACAGAGCCAAAAUUAAAUCAGGAAAAUGUGUUUUCUGUAUUAGUUUAUUCUUGGAAACUAUUCUGACAAGCAAAUUCUCCUAUUUUGUAAAAUUCCUUUACUCUAUCUUAGUCAGUGACUCAGGAUUUAAGAAACGUGAGUACUUCCCCACAUUUUCAGUGACAGUCUAAGUGUGCAAACAGCUCUGAUCUGAUGGAUGGUCAUGGAGAAGGCUGUGGAAGAUCAAGGGCACAUUUGAGAGGAUAAAAAUCAAUAACAAUACUAACGACCACAUUACAAGAAAGAGGUGGUGUGAAACUUCUAUCAUAUUAUCAACUGUGGAAUGGUAGAUAGCCUACAGCUGGGAAACAAGAAACCUGAGUUGGGGCUCAAGAUUUCUUAUGGUCAUUUGUGUGAGUCUGGGCAAGUCAAAGGCUUUGGAAAUCAGUUUCUUCAGCUUAGAAGUAAGAGUAUGGGCCAAGUUUAUUAUUUAAAUCUCAUUAAAAUGCAUAGUUACCUCACUCUAAGGUACAUACAGCUGUGGACUAGUACCAGCUACUAUCAGGUACUGCUUUGGCCAAGUGAAGAACAUCGGUUCCAAAACUAUUUAAAACAAAUGUACUAACAUUUCCCAAAUGUGGUGCAGUACAAACCACUGAAAUACUGUUAUCUCUGAACAGCUGUUGUGUUCCUACAUUAAGAAAAAUUUACCCUCCUGCUCAUCUAACAUGCCAUAUUGUUUCUUUUUAUUUAUGUAAUACUACUAUUUUCUUGGUUACUAUGAACUUUGGUUCUCAAUAAAAUUUCAUUUUGUAGUAUUACUAUUUAAAUUUCUAGGGAAAUUGUUUUCAGUAAUGUUUAAAAAUAUUCAUUAAAUUCCUAUUUUCUCUGAUGUAUCAGCUUUCUUCAAGCGAUCAAUAUAGUUUAAAAAACAAGUUUAAUAUGAAAGUCUUUAAAUUAUGUCUUUAAUUUGAAUUAACAUUCCCUUAUAUUAUAAUGAGAAUAUUACAAUGAGAACUUAAAUUUAAUGACAUUGAUAUUUGAUAAUUUCUAUGGAAAUACAGGGAAAUCACACUCCUUAUGAUAAAUAUAUUUGGGAAAACAUUAGCAGGCCUUGUAGGUGUCAGAAAGUAAAAGCACUGUAUUUUCACACAGCAACCAGAACUCAGCUUUAUUUCUACCACAGAAGAUAAGGUGAUUUCAUUCAACUAGACAAUUGAAUCAGCACAGCUUGCUGUAAACAGGAAACAAUAUAUUAUUUAUCAUAGUAAGGCAAAAAUCCCUAUUUGCAGGAAAUGCCCUGUAAGGCCUUUGCAAACACCUCAAUUUCCCUUUUCAUCUACCUCACAAGCAACAGUAAGGGAUUAGUAUUUAGAUUUCUUUUCAGAAGGUCUCAAGUAUAGGUCACCUCUCUAUUGAGUGCUUCAGCCUAGAUUGGCUAGGAGAGCAGAGAUUUCUUCUUGUAUGCCAGAUACAUGCAAUGUCAAAUUACCAUUAUCAGCCUAGUCCAUGCUAAUCUCACAAAUAUGAGGUGGGAAAAUACAGGGCUCAAGAUAGGAAAGAAAUUCAAAUAAUGAACAUUAAGCCCUCUAUUAUGUGCCAUACAUUAAUUAACUAAUGUCAUUCAAUUCUCACAACUAAAAUGUGAUAAUAGUUAAGCCACUGAACAUGAUAAAUUAGAAGAAAAUGAUCAGGAUGUUUACAUAAAUAUUUAAUGUGAACUCUGUGACAUACACACUUAAAAUCUCAUGACUAUAAAAGUAGCUGUACUUUCUUCUGUUUUUUCUUUUACUUCCCUGGAAUUUCCAAAGAUCUUUUAAGCUCUAAAUAGCUAAUCUGAUACAAUAAAUACUCAACAAUCUUUCCUGCCAGGCCUCGUGUUUGAUACCAUGGAGGGACACAAGGAUGAAUGAGAUGCCCCAAUCCCAACUGAUAACACAUACUGCUGGUAAUCAUUUCAGUUUCAUGAUGGAUUCUCUAGUUCAAACAGCAUAAAAAGGCUUCUAGUUUUAUUUAUGAAAUUAAAAAAAAAACUUAGCUGUAGCACUGAUGUGAUCUUAAAAAAUGAGCCAUAACAUCUUUCUGGCGAUUUUUUGUUUCUUUUUUCCAUUUUUUAUUUGGCCCCACCCACAGCAUGUGGAAGUUCCUGGGUCAGGGAUCAAACCAUGCCACAGCAGCAACCCAAGCUGUGGCACUGAUAAUGCCAGAUUCUUAACCCACUGCACAAGAGAACUCCCAUAUCUUUCUUAUCACUGCAACAAGAAGGCUAGUCCUGAGUGUGAAACCUCCUGACUGACUGUCUUAAAGCCCAAGUUCCACAACUGUUGAGCAUUCUGAUCUUCUAAUACUAGAUACAGGCAUUUAACUAACUCCUUACAUAUUUUGAUUUUUUUUUUUCACUUUGAAGAUCUAGUAAGGUUCACUGUCUCUAAUGACAGACAGCUAUUUCUUAAAGAUAAUCUCUGGAUAACAAUACAUGAUUUUAGGAUCUGAAAGGUAAAUGUAUAAGGUUAAUCAAGUAACAAGUCUUGACAGAACACAAUUCUCUGAGGCCACAUGAGAGCAGGAACAUGAGCAACUGGAUUCUAGAGGUAGAGGGGCUUCAUCAACUCUAAUCCCAGCUCAGUCACAUGCUAAGUGUAUGGCAAGUUCUUUAAUCUUUCUAAGUAUUUCUAGUAUUCUGAGUAUUUUUAUCUGCUAAAUAGCCUAAUAACACUUAUUCUGCAUAGUAGUUGUAAAGAUUAAAAAAAAAUUGUAAAGAUUCAGCAGAGAGAUAUAGCAGGUGCUUAAUAAACAGUAACAGUUUAUUCUCAUCCAUCAUUGCACUGCAUUACUGGUUUAAGCAGUAUUUCAACUCUGAGAGCAUACAUUUGGUCUAUGAUAAACCAGCUGACCAGGUCAAGUAUGAAUCCAGUUAAUGAAGAUAUACACAGCUCAAAAAAAAUAAAUUAUUUGGACAUAGUCUAUAAAUUAUUCUCCCAUAUAGCUGUCUUCAAAUGUAAGCUAGAAGACACUGGAUUUAAGAGGACAAAAAUUGCCCUUAUCAUCUUUAUGGCUUUAGUCUGGAAAAUAACAGUGAUAAUAACCUUAGGUCCUUGUGGAAUUUCCAUAACUGUAUAUCACUACCACAAAACAGAUCUCUUCUAAUAGCAAUGAAAUACAGAAGUGAGGAGUUCCCAUCGUGGCUCAGUGGUAACAAAUCCAUCUAGUAUCCAUGAGGACUUGAGUUCGAUCCCUGGCCUUGCUCGUGGGUUAACAAUCUGGUGCUGCCGUGAGCUGUGGUUUAGGUUGCAGACACAGCUCAGAUCUGGCAUUGCUGUGGCUGUGGUAUAGGCUGGCAGCUACAGCUCUGAUUUGACCCCUAGCCUGGGAACUUCCAUAUGCUGCAGCUGCAGCCCUAAAAAGACAAAAAGAC
rnacentral:lncRNA from 1 species